AACGAACGCUGGCGGCAUGCCUAACACAUGCAAGUCGGACGAGACCUUCGGGUCUAGUGGCGCACGGGUGCGUAACGCGUGGGAAUCUGCCCUUAGGUUCGGAAUAACUCAGGGAAACUUGAGCUAAUACCGGAUAAUGACUUCGGUCCAAAGAUUUAUCGCCUAGGGAUGAGCCCGCGUAGGAUUAGCUUGUUGGUGAGGUAAAAGCUCACCAAGGCGACGAUCCUUAGCUGGUCGAGAGGAUGAUCAGCCACACUGGGACUGAGACACGGCCCAGACUCCUACGGGAGGCAGCAGUGGGGAAUAUUGGACAAUGGGCGAAAGCCUGAUCCAGCAAUGCCGCGUGAGUGAUGAAGGCCUUAGGGUUGUAAAGCUCUUUUGCCAGGGAUGAUAAUGACAGUACCUGGAGAAUAAGCUCCGGCUAACUCCGUGCCAACAGCAGCCGCCGUAAG
rnacentral:rRNA from 1 species